UGGCAACGAUUUGCUCCAGCGAAUGAUCCGGCGAUGAUCUGCUCCAGCGAAUGCUCCAGCGACGAUUUUCUCGGCGUUCUCCUCCGACGAGAUUGUGUGCUGUGAACUGAAACGCUGUCUCCAGCGACGAUCUCCUCUGGCGGCGCGUUCUCCUCCUUCAGCGAACUUCUAUGAUUUGGAUUUGAUAUGAAGAUUGCCGCUCAUCUCAUCGCCAUCAUUCAUCUCUGCGCCAUCGCAAGCAACACCAUUUUCAAUCUGGCUCAUCUCCUCGACGUGGCAAGCAACGCCGUUGUUGCUGCCUUCAACAAGCUUCUACAGUUUAGUUUCGCGAUCUCUAUCACUUCUAAUAGAUUCUGGUCCCUAGGAUUGAAACCAUGACAGAGCAAUAAAGGUGUGCCAGGUGUGGAGUACAUCAUUUCUGAUAGGAUCUUUGAAGAUCUGCCUGACGAGGAGAAGAAGCUUUGGCACUCUCAUGCUUAUGAGGUCAAGUUAGGUCUAUUAAUAAGCCCAAGAGUUCCAGAGAUGAUUGCCAUGCCUGAGCUUGAAAACCUUGCUAAAUUCUAUGGAAAAUUCUGGUGUACUUGGCAGGCCGACAGAGGAGAUAGGGUUCCACUGGGUGCACCAGCACUAAUGAUAUCACCACAACCACAAGGGGUGAAGCCUAGGCUGGUGAGGCCAGAUCUGGUGCAUCAGAGGAAUGCAAAGUAUCAUGUUUCCUCAGACAGCUAUAAGACCUUAGUUAAGCGCGUUGCACUUUCAAAUAUUAUGGUGCUAAAUAUUUAAUUUAUAUGUAUUUCUUACACAUGAUAA